GACGUCAAGAGCAAGGAAGGACAGAG
rnacentral:piRNA from 1 species